UACGUAGGGUGCGAGCGUUAAUCGGAAUUACUGGGCGUAAAGCGUGCGCAGGCGGUUUUGUAAGCCAGAUGGGAAAUCCCCGGGCUUAACCUGGGAAUGGCAUUUGGGACUGCAAGGCUGGAGUUUGGCAGAGGAGACUGGAAUUCCCGGUGUAGCAGUGAAAUGCGUAGAUAUCGGGAGGAAUACCGAUGGCGAAGGCAGGUCUCUGGGCUAUAACUGACGCUCAUGCACGAAAGCGUGGGGAGCAAACAGG
rnacentral:rRNA from 1 species